AACCGACACAGGUGGUCAGGUAGAGAAUACCAAGGCGCUUGAGAGAACUCGGGUGAAGGAACUAGGCAAAAUGGUGCCGUAACUUCGGGAGAAGGCACGCUGACACGUAGGUGAAGUGAUUUACUCAUGGAGCUGAAGUCAGUCGAAGAUACCAGCUGGCUGCAACUGUUUAUUAAAAACACAGCACUGUGCAAACACGAAAGUGGACGUAUACGGUGUGACGCCUGCCCGGUGCCGGAAGGUUAAUUGAUGGGG
rnacentral:rRNA from 11 species